rnacentral:rRNA from 1 species
CCUACGGGGGGCAGCAGUGAGGAAUAUUGGUCAAUGGUCGGGAGACUGAACCAGCCAAGCCGCGUGAGGGAUGAAGGUACAGAGUAUCGUAAACCUCUUUUGUCAGGGAACAAAGGCGGGGACGUGUCCCCGGAUGAGUGUACCUGAAGAAAAAGCAUCGGCUAACUCCGUGCCAGCAGCCGCGGUAAUACGGAGGAUGCGAGCGUUAUCCGGAUUUAUUGGGUUUAAAGGGUGCGCAGGCGGUCUGUUAAGUCAGCGGUCAAAGCCCGGGGCUCAACCCCGGCCCGCCGUUGAAACUGGCAGUC